rnacentral:tRNA from 1 species
GGCACUGUGGCUCAAGUGGUAGAGUGCUAGUCUUGAGCACUUGAGCUAGUCUUAAGGCUUGGGGACAGUGCCA